UGAUUUGUUGGACGCUAGCGGCGGAUGGGUGAGUAACACGUGGGCAAUCUGCCCUAAAGACUGGGAUACCACUUGGAAACAGGUGCUAAUACCGGAUAACAACAUGAAUCGCAUGAUUCAAGUUUGAAAGGCGGCGUAAGCUGUCACUUUAGGAUGAGCCCGCGGCGCAUUAGCUAGUUGGUGGGGUAAAGGCCUACCAAGGCAAUGAUGCGUAGCCGAGUUGAGAGACUGAUCGGCCACAUUGGGACUGAGACACGGCCCAAACUCCUACGGGAGGCAGCAGUAGGGAAUCUUCCACAAUGGACGCAAGUCUGAUGGAGCAACGCCGCGUGAGUGAAGAAGGUUUUCGGAUCGUAAAGCUCUGUUGUUGGUGAAGAAGGAUAGAGGCAGUAACUGGUCUUUAUUUGACGGUAAUCAACCAGAAAGUCACGGCUAACUACGUGCCAGCAGCCGCGGUAAUACGUAGGUGGCAAGCGUUGUCCGGAUUUAUUGGGCGUAAAGCGAGCGCAGGCGGAAUGAUAAGUCUGAUGUGAAAGCCCACGGCUCAACCGUGGAACUGCAUCGGAAACUGUCAUUCUUGAGUGCAGAAGAGGAGAGUGGAAUUCCAUGUGUAGCGGUGGAAUGCGUAGAUAUAUGGAAGAACACCAGUGGCGAAGGCGGCUCUCUGGUCUGCAACUGACGCUGAGGCUCGAAAGCAUGGGUAGCGAACAGGAUUAGAUACCCUGGUAGUCCAUGCCGUAAACGAUGAGCGCUAGGUGUUGGGGACUUUCCGGUCCUCAGUGCCGCAGCAAACGCAUUAAGCGCUCCGCCUGGGGAGUACGACCGCAAGGUUGAAACUCAAAGGAAUUGACGGGGGCCCGCACAAGCGGUGGAGCAUGUGGUUUAAUUCGAAGCAACGCGAAGAACCUUACCAGGUCUUGACAUCCUG
rnacentral:rRNA from 1 species